GUUAGCGGCGGACGGGUGAGUAACACGUGGGUAACCUGCCCAUAAGACUGGGAUAACUCCGGGAAACCGGGGCUAAUACCGGAUAACAUUUUGAACCGCAUGGUUCGAUAUUGAAAGACGGCUUCGGCUGUCACUUAUGGAUGGACCCGCGUCGCAUUAGCUAGUUGGUGAGGUAACGGCUCACCAAGGCGACGAUGCGUAGCCGACCUGAGAGGGUGAUCGGCCACACUGGAACUGAGACACGGCCCAGACUCCUACGGGAGGCAGCAGUAGGGAAUCUUCCGCAAUGGACGAAAGUCUGACGGAGCAACGCCGCGUGAGUGAUGAAGGUUUUCGGAUCGUAAAACUCUGUUGUUAGGGAAGAACAAGUGCUAGUUGAACUAAGCUUGCACCUUGACGGUACCUAACCAGAAAGCCACGGCUAACUACGUGCCAGCAGCCGCGGUAAUACGUAGGUGGCAAGCGUUAUCCGGAAUUAUUGGGCGUAAAGCGCGCGCAGGUGGUUUCUUAAGUCUGAUGUGAAAGCCCACGGCUCAACCGUGGAGGGUCAUUGGAAAC
rnacentral:rRNA from 1 species